rnacentral:lncRNA from 1 species
CUAGCAUUCACCAAGGAUGAACUGAAAGCAGGAUCUGUCUCACCAUACACUGAGAACUGUAGAAUAUGCAAGGCACAUGGAACUUAUUUUCUUACGUAUAAAAGCGUGUAUAUGCUCCUUAUACAUCUGUCCUAAUGCUUUCCAACAGUCCUCACUCUAAGCCUCACCAAGACCCAGAUGAGGAAACAAAGGCACAGAGGUCAAAUUUGGAGAUUUUUCAGUCAUGAUUUCUUCAAAUAUUUUUUCUGCCCUUCCCGCAACCUCUCUCCUUUACAGACUCUAGUUACACACAUAUUAUAAGAAAUAUUGAAAGAAGUCUUCUAGGCAGAAGGAAAAUGAAAUGAAAACCAGAUGAAUAUGAAUGAACUGUACCAGAAAUGAUAACUAUUAAAUACAUUGAUAAACUCAGAGCAGGAAGACAGCAAGGAAUAGCAGUGAAAAGCAUGGUGCUUAAUCCAACCCCUUACUCACUGCUGAGACCUGGAAAUGUGUUCAUCAGCUACAAAACAGGAGAGAUGAUAACUCAUUAUGUAUAUGUGAUGAUAAACAGAGACAAUAUAUUGAAGAGCUUAUAUGAGUGGCAGACACGGGACAUGCUUCCCUGUGGCUGGCCAGCGUGUCAUCUUCUCCAUGUGUCCAGAGAAAAGCUUUGCAAAUCAACCUCUCGAUGAAUGAUGACGGCACCAGUGAAAUCAGGGGAGGCAGAAAAUCAUGUUAGUUUGGUUUAUAAUGCAAGAAGUUACAGAACACAGAGUGCUCAAAACUAAGAAUGUGCUAGUUGUAUAACAGGGUCCUUCUUGGGACUCAGCCAGGAUUCAAACUAUAAAGGAAAAUCGGGUGAGCAGGUGGGAUAGUCAAGUGAUUCUAUUUGCAUGAAUAAUUUUGUGAGAUGAUACCUUCUUGUCCAGGAACAUUGAGCAGUGCUCGUGCUGGGUGGAUUGUGAUGUGGAAACCCUGGGAGAUGUCACGUCUGACAUCAACUUUCUCCCAGGUGACAGCUGCACCCUCUAAAGGCUUCUCAAAUGACAGAGCUCAAUGAAUAUAGAAGGGAAAAGUAUGAGGAUGACCUAUGAGCACAGGGUGGACAGUCUCUGCGGUGGGCAGGCAUUAGCAAAGGAGAGACCUUCUGUAUUAUGCAGGCAGGCAUCUGGUGGACCUUCUUCUUGGAUUGUGAUUCAAAAGCCCAAACCAUUCCUCACUGGUCUGAAAGAGUGGAAUUUUCCAGAGGCUACAUGAUGAGUGACGUCACGACAGAUUGAGUACAGAGCCAACUAUGAGAAUCCAGCUGCCUUCUAUUAAGGUGGUACCCUUUCUGUGGAUACCUUCAAGUUCCAGCACCAAAUAUGAAGGCGACUGCCAUCACCAGCUCCCACCCCUACAUGAGGUCAAAUCCCUGGAUGGCAUAUAACACACUAGAGCAAUUAAGAGGAUCUAACUAAAGGUGGGGAAGGAAAAAUGUGUGUACAGAGACAGGAAGUCAUGGACACAGUUAUAUUGAAAGAUACAAUG